rnacentral:rRNA from 1 species
AGAGAGAGACAUGCGCGCAUAUCAAUAAGCGGAGGAAAAGAAACUAACAAGGAUUCCCCUAGUAACGGCGAGUGAAGCGGGAAGAGCUCAAAUUUGAAAUCUUAAAGGGUUUCCCUUUACGAAUUGUAGUUUAAAGAAGUGUUUUCUGUUGAGGUUUUGGUAAAAGUUCUUUGGAAUAGGACAUCAUAGAGGGUGAGAAUCCCGUAUUUGACCUUUACUUUCAACUUUGUGAUACACUUUCAAAGAGUCGGAUUGUUUGGGAAUGCAGUCCAAAAUGGGUGGUAAAUUUCAUCUAAAGCUAAAUAUUGGCGAGAGACCGAUAGCGAACAAGUACCGUGAGGGAAAGAUGAAAAGAACUUUGAAAAGAGAGUUAAACAGUACGUGAAAUUGUCAAAAGGGAAGCGUUUGACACCAAGUGUUGUUUUUCUGAAAAUCAAUUAAAGAACUGUUUAUGCUAAGUUGUUUAGACUUUAUCAGCUAACUGUUUAGUUUUGAGCUUUUCUUUAAUGCACUUUUCAGUUAACAAGUCAACAUCAAUUUCUUUUGCUGUAAAAAAGCUUGAGGAAGGUGGCUUGAGAUUCGUCUUAAGUGUUUAUAGCCUCUUGCCUAUGCAGUCGGAGAGAUUGAGGUCUGCAGCGUAGAUCCUUCGGGGCUAAAUGCAUUUGUGCUAAGUUAUAGCAUUUUAUAGACAACUUGUUGACUAUGAUUUGUCUUGUAGCUUACUCGCUUAUGUUAUUUUACCUACGCUUAGGAUGUUGAAGACUCUACAGAGAUA